UACGGAGGGUGCAAGCGUUAUCCGGAUUCACUGGGUUUAAAGGGUGCGUAGGUGGAUUAGUAAGUCAGUGGUGAAAUCUCUGGGCUUAACUCAGAAACUGCCAUUGAUACUAUUAGUCUUGAAUACCGUGGAGGUCAGCGGAAUAUGUCAUGUAGCGGUGAAAUGCUUAGAUAUGACUUAGAACACCAAUUGCGAAGGCAGCUUGCUAAACAAACAUUGACGCUGAGGCACGAAAGCGUGGGGAUCAAACAGG
rnacentral:rRNA from 1 species